UUAAAUUGAAGAGUUUGAUCAUGGCUCAGAUUGAACGCUGGCGGCAGGCCUAACACAUGCAAGUCGAACGGUAACAGGAAGCAGCUUGCUGCUUCGCUGACGAGUGGCGGACGGGUGAGUAAUGUCUGGGAAACUGCCUGAUGGAGGGGGAUAACUACUGGAAACGGUGGCUAAUACCGCAUAACGUCGCAAGACCAAAGAGGGGGACCUUCGGGCCUCUUGCCAUCAGAUGUGCCCAGAUGGGAUUAGCUUGUUGGUGAGGUAACGGCUCACCAAGGCGACGAUCCCUAGCUGGUCUGAGAGGAUGACCA
rnacentral:rRNA from 1 species